rnacentral:lncRNA from 1 species
CCACUUCGCCACUGCCGUAGGGGUUUGCCUUGCUAGGUUGGAGCGGCCCUAGGCAUAACAGACAAACAGCAGACAGUCCUACUACCUUGGUGGACACGUCAUAUGGGGCUAGAGCUUGGUCACAAUAAUCUACUACAGAGAAUUCUGAUUUGCUGGCUAGAGAGGAACUAUGGGCUAUGGAAGCGAGAAAUUUGUGACAUGUGAAGAGUGGUGCUACUAUAGAGAGAAUCCUGAUUUGCUGGCUAGAGAGGAACUACAGGCAUGCACGGGGGCAUGUGGUGUGAUCAAAGCCACAUCUAGUAUUUAGGGUUAAUAGAUACUAUUUAUUGCCUAAUUAAACAACUAUGAUUUUGGUGUGAAAGCAUCUUGACAGUUGCCAUGUG